GCGUGAGUGAUGAAGGCCUUAGGGUUGUAAAGCUCUUUCAACGGUGAAGAUAAUGACGGUAGCCGUAGAAGAAGCCCCGGCUAACUUCGUGCCAGCAGCCGCGGUAAUACGAAGGGGGCAAGCGUUGUUCGGAAUCACUGGGCGUAAAGCGCACGUAGGCGGAUUGUUAAGUUAGGGGUGAAAUCCCGGGGCUCAACCUCGGAACUGCCUCUGAUACUGGCAAUCUUGAGUUCGGGAGAGGAGUGUGGAACUCCGAGUGUAGAGGUGAAAUUCGU
rnacentral:rRNA from 1 species